GAUGAACGCUAGCGGCAGGCCUAAUACAUGCAAGUCGAACGGUGUCUUCGGACAUAGUGGCGCACGGGUGCGUAACACGUAUGCAACCUACCUUACAUUGGGGGAUAGCCUUUCGAAAGGGAGAUUAAUACCGCAUAAGACAGUAGCUGGGCAUCCAGCAGCUGUUAAAGAUUUAUCGAUGUAGGCUGGGCAUGCGGCCAAUUAGCUAGUUGGUGAGGUAACGGCUCACCAGGGCAAUGAUUGGUAGGGGAACUGAGAGGUCAAUCCCCCACACUGGCACUGAGAUACGGGCCAGACUCCUACGGGAGGAAGCAGUAGGGAAUAUUGGGCAAUGGACGCAAGUCUGACCCAGCCAUGCCGCGUGCAGGAUGAAGGCGUUAUGCGUUGUAAACUGCUUUUAUACAGGAAGAAACGACUCUUGCGAGAGGCAUUGACGGUACUGUAUGAAUAAGCACCGGCUAACUCCGUGCCAGCCGCCGCGGUAACAC
rnacentral:rRNA from 1 species